UUGCUUCAGCAGCACAUAUACAAAAUUGGAAUGAUACAAAAAAAAUUAGCAUGGUCCCUGUGCAAAACAACACGCAAAUUUGUGAAGGGUUCCAUGUUUUU
rnacentral:snRNA from 2 species